rnacentral:rRNA from 1 species
AACGAACGCUGGCGGCAUGCCUAACACAUGCAAGUCGAACGAGACCUUCGGUCUAGUGGCGCACGGGUGCGUAACGCGUGGGAAUCUGCCCUUGGGUUCGGAAUAACAGCGAGAAAUUGCUGCUAAUACCGGAUGAUGACGUAAGUCCAAAGAUUUAUCGCCCAAGGAUGAGCCCGCGUAGGAUUAGCUAGUUGGUGAGGUAAAGGCUCACCAAGGCGACGAUCCUUAGCUGGUCUGAGAGGAUGAUCAGCCACACUGGGACUGAGACACGGCCCAGACUCCUACGGGAGGCAGCAGUGGGGGAAUAUUGGACAAUGGGCGAAAGCCUGAUCCAGCAAUGCCGCGUGAGUGAUGAAGGCCUUAGGGUUGUAAAGCUCUUUUACCCGGGAUGAUAAUGACAGUACCGGGAGAAUAAGCUCCGGCUAACUCCGUGCCAGCAGCCGCGGUAAU